UUCAGACGAUGCGUCAUGCAUAUCAAUAAGCGGAGGAAAAGAAACUAACUAGGAUUCCCUCAGUAACGGCGAGUGAAGCGGGAAGAGCUCAAAUUUGAAAUCUUCAAGGUUUUACCUUGACGAAUUGUAGUUUAAAGAAGUGUUUUCUGUUGAAGUUUUGGUAAAAGUUCUUUGGAAUAGGACAUCAUAGAGGGUGAGAAUCCCGUAUUUGACUAUUCUUUCUAGCUUUGUGAUACACUUUCAAAGAGUCGGAUUGUUUGGGAAUGCAGUCCAAAAUGGGUGGUAAAUUUCAUCUAAAGCUAAAUAUUGGCGAGAGACCGAUAGCGAACAAGUACCGUGAGGGAAAGAUGAAAAGAACUUUGAAAAGGGAGUUAAACAGUACGUGAAAUUGUCAAAAGGGAAGCGUUUGACACCAGUGUUGUUUUCUCGAAAAUCAAUUAAAAAGAGUUGGAUUUUGUGUUGUAUUGACCUUAACAGCUGCUUCACUCUUUUCCUGCUUUUUUUAAUGCACUUUUCGUUUAACAAGUCAACAUCAGUUUCUUUUGUUGUAAAAGGGUCAUUGGAAGGUGGCUUUCUCUUCGGAGAAAGUGUUUAUAGCCUUUGAUCUCUGCAAUCGGAGAGACUGAGGUCUGCAGCGUAGAUCCUUCGGGGUUAGAUACAUUUGUGCUAAGCUACAGCUUUUCAUAGACAACUUGUUGACUAUGUUUAGUCUUGUAACUUACCCGCUUAUGCUAUUUUACCUACGCUUAGGAUGUUGAUAUGCAUGACUGAUAU
rnacentral:rRNA from 1 species